rnacentral:lncRNA from 1 species
AGAAGAACUUCAGAUUGAGCCUCUUGAAACAUUUGCUCUUGGAAUUCUCCCUCUCAGGAAACUAACAGCCUGCUAUGAAGCCCAAGCCACAAAGAGAGGCCAAGGGGAAAUAAACAGAGUGUGAUUAUAUGCAAAACCUACAAGAAUGAGGACCUCCAAACUCAGUGUACAGAGUGAUUUUCUGCUGAAACAAUUGGAUAAGCUACAUAAAUGACGGCAUAUUGGAUGGUGACAGCGCCUCUAGAGUGUGUACUUCUGAUAUGCAAAGACAUACCAUGUCAGUUUACAACUGUAUUGUAUUUUGUUCUGUUUUCCCUUAUGAUGAUUCACUGGCUGUGAAGCUUUUAAAAAAUUGUGUGACUGACCAGCAGCAGUGGCUCACAUCUGUAAUCCCAGCACUUUGGGAGGCCGAGAAAAUAAAAGAGACAUCAGUGUGUGAAUGACGACUUUCUGUUGCUGACUUGGAAGACAGAGGAAUUGGGUCAUGAGCCGAGGAAGGUGGGCAGCUUCUAAAAGGCGGAAAAGAACUGAAUUGAAUUCAAAUCAAAAAAGGUCUGAACCUCAUUUAAAAGAUGGUUUUGUAACUGAAGAAUUGAAAGGAUUUCUUUAUGAACUAGCAUCAUCUUAAGACAAAGGAUAAGGACCCUGAAGACAGCAUUAUAGUGAAUCCCAGAGGUGCUCUCCAAAAUGGUGCUAAUACAGCCAAGAAUACAGGUAUGAGGAAGGAUGUGGAAGGGUACCUUACAGGAGAAAGCACCACUUAUCCACCAAGAUGGCAGAGGCCUUCUUUUCUGACCCGUGGUACAAAAAGAAAACAUUAUAAGGAGAGACAAUAGGCAAAAAAGAGCACACGAGAAGAAACAUAGAAUGAAAGAAAAGAGAGGGUCAAAGAGAAGAAAAAUAAGAUCACAUGAAGGUGAUAAUACAAUUUUAUAUAGAACACGGCAAUUUGCAAUCCACAAGCUGAUCUAAUAUUUAAUGUUUAAGAAAUCCAGGCUGUGUAAAUAAAUUUUGGAAAUGAGAACUCUCCAAGAGCAGACUCAAGGUGAUCUGGGCUGGAUCUUACUCCUUCCAUGUCUCAGGUGGCCCCAGGAGGACAACAUUGUCAAAUAAAGUUUAGCCUAAAGCUGACUCCUUACUUAUUUUAAGUUCAGCCUAAAGAUUUAUCUGUACAUCAUGAACUAUAGCCUAAACGGAAGUAUAAACAGGCUACAAUCUACUCUUGUGCCAAUCACUGAGUUUUGGCCAAUCGAUUGCGGUCAACAGUUCAAAUCAUGUUUGAAUAAGACAAAUGCCGAGCUGUUACCAAUCUGGCUGUUUCUGUACCUCACUUCUGUUUUGUGUAUGUCACUUUAUUUUUUCUGUCCAUAAAUCCUCUUCCACCACGCAGCUGCGCUGCAGUCUCUGAGCCUACUCUGGCUCUGGAGGCGGCCCGAUAGGCGAAUUGUUCUUUGCUCAAUUAAAUUCUUAAAUGUAA